CCUACGGGGUGCAGCAGUGGGGAAUAUUGGGCAAUGGGCGCAAACCUGACCCAGCAACGCCGCGUCAAGGAAGAAGGCUUUCGGGUUGUAAACUUCUUUUCUCAGGGACGAAGCAAGUGACGGUACCUGCGGAAUAAGCCACGGCUAACUACGUGCCAGCAGCCGCGGUAAUACGUAGGUGGCACGCGUUUUCCGGAUUUACUGGGUGUAAAGGGCGUGUAGGCGGGACUGCAAGUCAGAUGUGAAAACCACGGGCGCAACCUGUGGCCUGCAUUUGAAACUGUAGUUCUUGAGUACUGGAGAGGCAGGCGGAAUUCCUAGUGUAGCGGUGAAAUGCGUAGAUAUUAGGAGGAACACCAGUGGCGAAGGCGGUCUGCUGGACAGCAACUGACGCUGAGGCGCGAAAGCGUGGGGAGCAAACAGGAUUAGAUACCCUAGUAGUC
rnacentral:rRNA from 1 species